UUGGAAGUUAUUAGAGAGAUAAGUACAGAAUCAACAGAUUCAGUGUUAACAGCUCAACAUAAUAUUCAUUGUAAAUGAUAAUUAAUAAUUAGUUGUCUUCUACCAUAUUUUAGAAUUAGCAUUAAAGGAGAAUAAUUGCUUUGAUUCUCAGGCCAGAAUUGGAUUAUUGAUCUGUCCUUGUACUCUAUAAAUACCUUUCAUGUAUUACUUACUAAUAUAUAAAAGAAAUACAUAUUGGUUGUUUCUUUAUCGGUAUCAGUUGCUGGAAGAAUUCCUUAGGUUUUUUUCUUUUGCUUCCGUUUUUUUUUCAUUUUUCCAUCCCACAAUGUCUGAUCACUCGUCUGAUACCGAGUCCCAGCAUUUCACCCAAACAUUCUUCACCUAAAACUGAAAUACUCCAAUCCAUCAGGACAUACCAUGAAAACCACCCUGUUCAGAUUACAACAAUUCGACUGAACGGCCUAAUUAUUUUCGGUGGUCACAGGUCUGUCUGUUUGUAUCUCAGGGGAAGAGGAAAAUUGGCUACAUCACUGGAGACAAGAAAACAACCAGACAAGGAAGGUGCAGACUACGAUAGUUGGAUGCUGAAAAUUCCAUGGUCAUGACAUGCGUUAGUCAAUUUCCAUGACUGAAGAGAUAGGUGCAAACUAUCUUUGUUAUGCUACUGAAAAGAUCUUUGGAAAAGUGUCGCUCAGAUGUAUUCUGAUUUGGACAACCAUCCCAAAUUUAUGAAUUAACUCUCCAGCUUGGGAGAAAUUCGUCAAGCUGAAGAUUCUGUUACGAAAUACUUCAAUUGUCUCAAGCUAUUUUGGCAAGAUUUGGAUCUGUUCAAUGUAUAUGAGUGGAAGGCACCCGAGGACUGCAGCACUACAAGAAGAUGGUGGAUGUUCGUCGUGUCUUCAAGUUUCUUGCAGGUCUAAAUAUUGAGUUUGAUGAGGUUUUGGACCGAAUUCUUGGCAGGAAUCCUAUCCCUCCAAUUGGUGAAGUAUUUUGCUGGAAGUACGUCGCGAAGGAGAGUCGCAGGCAGGUGAUGCUUGAAAAAAGGUUGUCAUUGUCCCCUCCACCAGUCGAAGGAUCUGCACUGGCUGUUCCUUUAGUCAAUCGCAAACCUUUCCCUAAUCCACGAGUGGUGACCAAGACCAAUUUAUUUGCGACUACUGUGGUCAAAUCGUCACACUCGGCAAAACUGUUUCAAACUACAUGGUAGGCCAAAUAAACAGAAAGGCUGGAAGUUUGGUGACCGCCCUACUUCUAUAACCAAUGAGGCUGACUCGCUCUCCAUUUACUAAGAGCAAAUGGAUCACCUUUUUAAACUUCUAAAGUUCAAUUCAUCACCUACUGUUGCUGUUGGAACUGUGGGCACAAACAGGUAAGAAUUCUUGGGCAUAUCUGUCCAAAAACCACUCCAACCCUUGGAUAAUAGAUUCAGGCGGCAUCUGAACAUAUGACAAAAAUUGUUCUCAUUUAUUCAAUUCCUAUUUCCCUUGUUCCGGUCUGAAAUUAGUAAGAAUUGCUGAUGGUAGUUAUUCUAGUAUUGCAGGCAAAGUAGCAUAAAAAUUUCAAGGCAAAUAUACUUUGCAAUCUUUUUACACGUUCCUAAAUUUGCUUGCAAUCUUCUAUCUGUUCAUAAAUUGUCUAAGGACACUAAUCUGUUCUGUCAUUUUUCGUCCUCCACUUGUGUUUUCAGGACCAGAACUCGGGGAAGAUCAUUGGAAACUGCUAGAGAGAUGAAUGGAUUGUACUACUUUGAUGAAACUCCUCUUGGAAUGCAAUGGUUUUUGGUUUAAACAGUGCAACUUUACUCCCGUUUCAGAUCAAGUAUGUUAUGGCAUAAAAGAUUAGGGCCAUCCUAGUUUCCCUUAUCUUAAGUAUUUAUUUCCAAAAUUUUCCAAAGAAAUUAAAUUCCUCCUCAAUUUCAUUGUGAAGCUUGUCACUUAGCUAAAGAUCAUCGCGUAUCUUUUACUUCAAAAGUUUAUUCUGCUUCACAACCUUUUCAAUUUAAUCCAUAGUGAUGUUUGGGGUCCUUCAAAAAUUAAAACUAUGUCUCCGAAAAAAAUGGUUUGUGACAUUUAUUGAUGACCAUACACGUGUGUGUUGGGUUAUCUCUUAGAAAAAAAAUCUGAGUAGAACAAAGGUUUAAAGAUUUUUUUCACAUGAUUGAAAACCAAUUCAAACUAAGAUUGGCAUUCUAAGGGUCUGACAAUGGCACUGAAUAUUUCAACAAAUAUCUAAGUACAUUCUUAGUAGCUAAGCGGCAUAAUUUUAUCAAUCCACUUGUCGUUGAUACUCCACAACACAAACGGUAUUGCUGAAAGAAAAAAUAGACAUCUCCUUGAAGUUACUAGAGCUAUUAUGUUUUCUAUGAAUGUACCUAAAUAUCUUUGGGGAAAUGCCUUAUAACGGCUUGUACCUCGUCAAUAGAAUGCCAUCUCGUGGUUUAAAAUAUGAGACUCCUGUGCAAGUUUACAAAAAUUAUUUUCCACAUCUCGCAUCAUUGCGGAUCUUCCCCUUAAAGUUUUUGUUGUGGUUGUUAUGUCUACAUCCCAAAUAUUUUCCGUUCCAAGUUGGAUCCUAAGCUGAAAAAUGUGUUUUUCUUGGCUACGCUUCCAAUAAAAAGGGCUACAAAGUUUUAACCCAAUAACAAAGAAUUUUUUGAAAGUAUGGAUGUCAAUUUUGUUGAAAAUCAACCUUUUUUUACUAAAAUUCUCUCAGGGGGAGAAUCAUUGUGUUGAUAAUGAAGAUAAAAUUUGGAAACUUUACCUGCACUGGGAUGAUAUUGUGACUACAAAUCAUCCAGAACCAGAAUGCUUAUCUUGAAUUGUCGGAUAAUAUAAUGUCUGAAACAGGGGGAGAAAAACUGAUGAGGAUCCUAAUCCUCAACUUCAAGUGUAUGUCCGAAAAAGGUUUCACAGAGGUAUUACAAAUCCAAUUGUCUCUCAGGAAAAAAUCCAAUCUGAUUUGCCAAGUGAAGGGUCCUACUGAAACUUCUCCUUCUAGUUCUUCAUCUGGUAUCCAUCUACUCUUCCAAUGAUUUACUGGAUUUGUCUUUUCCUGAUAUGAAUCUUCCUAUUGCUUUGAGAAAAAAAUUCCUGACCUUAAUAUCUCAAUUGCUGAUAGGAAACGUACUCGAACAUGCACUAAACACCCCAUAUCUAAUUACUUGUCAUAUGACAAGUUAUCACACACUCACAAGGCAUAUGUGUCUAGGAUUUCGAAUUGUUUGUGCCCAGAACUAUUCAAGAAAGCAAUUAGGUGAUCCGAAUUGGAAAUUAGCAGUGAAAGAAGAGAUGGAUGCUCUAAGGAAAAAUAAUACUUGGAGUAUCACUGUUCUACCUCAUAACAAAAGGGCAAUUGGAUGUAAAUGGGUUUACAGUGAAAUGCAGGGCUGAUGGAAAUGUAGAAAGGUACAAAGCAAGGCUAGUAGCAAAAGGUUUUACUCAAACUCAUGGUAUAGACUACCAAGACACCUUUGCCCCUGUGCUAAGAUUAAUCCAUCAGAUUCUUCGCUCUCUUGCAGUAAAUUUCAAUUGGCCACUACAUCAAUUUGAUGUUAAAAAUGCUUUUUUGAAUGGAGAAUUACAUGAAGAAGUAUAUAUGAGUCCUUCCUGGAUUUGAAGAAAAUCUUGGACGGGACAAGUCUGCAAAUUGGAAAAAGUCCUUAUAUGGAUUAAAACAAUCACCAAAGGCCUGGUUUGAAAGAUUUGGAAGUGUUGUUAAGAAACAGGGUUCCACCAAAGUCAAGCAGAUCACACAUUGUUCUUUAAGCAUUCAGAUGAAGGUAAAAUUGCUAUUUUAAUUGUGUAUGUCGAUGACAUUAUCAUUACAGGAAAGAUGGUUAACGAGAUAGCUGAUCUAAAGAGAAGACUUGAAGCUGAAUUGAUAUCAAGGACCUUGGAAAAUAAAAGUAUUUUCUCGGGAUGGAGUUCGCAAGGUCUAGGAGGGAAUCUUUCUCAACCAACGCAAAUAUAUACUUGAUUUACUCACAGAAACAGGGAUGACAGGAUGUAAAGCAGCAGAAACACCAAUGGAUCUCAAUGUAAAACUGAAGGCAGCAUCUAAAGAUGAAUGGUAAAUAGGAACGCUACCAAACGACUGGCCGGUAGACUAAUUAUUUGUCGCAUACAAGGCCUAAUAUAGCCUUUGCAGUAAGUGUGAUAAGUCAGUUUAUGCAUGCACGGGACCUACGCAUUUUGAAGCUAUUUUCAGAAUAUUGAGAUAUUUAAAAGGAACUCCAGGGAAGGGAUUGAUGUUCAAAAACAGCGGGCAUAUACAAGUGGAAGCUUACACAGAUGCUGAUUGGGCAGGUAAUAUAAAUGACAGGAGGUCUACUUCAGGCUAUUGUACUUUUGUAGGUGGAAACUUAGUUACAUGAGAAGUAAAAAACAAAAUGUCGUAGCUAGGAGCAGUGCAGAGGCUGAAUUCCGCUCCGUGGCUCAUGGUUUUUGUUAAGUAUUAUGGAUUAAAAAAUUCAUGGAGGAAUUAAAGGUCUCUAGUCCAACACCAAUUAAAGUCUACUGUGAUAAUAAGCAGCUAUUUCCAUUGCCCAUAAUCCUGUCCUACACGACAGAACGAAACAUGUUGAAGUGGACAAGCACUUCAUUAAAGAAAAAAAAUUGACAGUGGUGAAAUUUGUAUGACCUAUGUACCUACCACAAGUCAAGUAGCAGAUGUUCUCACAAAGAGUCUUCCAAAGAGACAAUUUGAUGAUAUGGUGAGCAAGCUUGCAAUGAAUGAUAUAUUCAUGCCAACUUGAGGGGAGUGUGGAAGUUAUUAGAGAGAUAAGUACAGAAUCAACAGAUUCAGUGUUAACAGCUCAACAUAAAUCAUUGUAAAUGAUAAUUAAUAAUUAGUUGUCUUCUACCAUAUUUAGAAUUAGCAUUUAAAGGGAGAAUAAUUGCUUUGAUUCUCAGGCCAGAAUUAGGAUUAUUGAUCUGUCCUUGUACUCUAUAAAUACCUUUCAUGUAUUACUUACUAA
rnacentral:lncRNA from 1 species